rnacentral:lncRNA from 11 species
GGGCUUACAAGUAUCAUCCAGCUGUCAGUCGUACGUGGCACUGAAAGGACACAAGCUUUGAGUCAUCUCCGACUUGAGAUCCUAUCACCCUCAGGCCAUCAUCCUUCCAAAUAUAGACACCGGGAUUCGCUGACAGCCUCAAAGUCUUAUCUGCACGGCUGACCUUUACCACAUUAUAGUACAAAACUCCCUGCAUCGAUUGAGGACCAAGCAAAGAGGUUUACUAUGCACCAACUGCCUCUCCCUGUCCCUCUUAAGAUCAGACAUAUUUCCUUUCAGCGGUUGUUCUUCAGAUCCUGGCUGUGCCCACUUGUGAAACAACAUGGAGCUGAGUGUGUGCUUUCCUUUCCCCCUUUGAUGGCAAGAGAUGAAAAUGAGAGAAGUGGCACAAUUGAGUAUUUGACAGCCGAAGCAUGUGGAACCAUGAAGAGCCACCAGUGGCUGGAGACAGUGGGUGCCACUUUGAGAAGCCAAAAUAUACAUCUAUUACAAUCCAACCCACAUCAAUUACUUUUGGAUAGUUGGCACAGAACAAUUUCUUCUCAUCUUGGCUUUGCCUUCUCUCUCUUUUGUGAAUGCAUGUGUGCAUUUGUGUGUGCAAAUCAGGGUUUUAAUUGUAAAUGGAAUCCAAGGAAUCAAUAGGAUUUAUUCCUCCUGCCACUCAGGAAUGAAAUGUGUGCUAAUACGACACAAUAGAUUUCACUAUGUAACAUGGUUUUUGUUCCUGGGUUAUAAAUGUCUUUUUUUAACUGGUUCUACAACAAAUACAUGGAAAAAGUUUAUUAAACUGCAAAAAGUUUAUUUUUACAGGACAUUCUGCAGCACAUUUUGCAUUGCUUUUUCAAUGAAUAUCUUAGCAAGUCUCAACCAAUUCCAUAUAGUGUGUGGCAGUCACAAAAAUGAGUAUAACAAUUACUUUCAAAGUAAGCACAACAUAAUUAAACAGGAACAACACUGUCAAGCCAGGAACAGAAAAAAAUUAAAUUUUGUUACAUA